AUUGAAAAUGCAUCAAGGUAUUUUUUCAUUUAACUCUCAUUAUUUUCAAGGUAUCUCAUAUCAAGCCUCAGAUCUGAGUGGUUCAUUAUUAUAUAUUACCCUCAGUUAGAAAAAAUAAAUACACAAUUAAAGAGAAACAAGUUAAAUUUAAGAACAAAUGUAAUUGUUAUGCACUUAUGUUUCUUUAUUAAUUGAUGAUAAAUUUAUUAUGUAUCUCUAUUGAAGUAUAUAUUUUAUCUAUAUAUUCAUCCUGUGUAGAAGUAACUUAUGUAUAGUGAUUAAUUUCUGGAACAUUCAAAUCAGCAUCAGCCACAAUGUAAAUAUUUAUGACCCCUCAAGUGGAACCCACUGUUUUCAUAAACACCAAAGUUAAACUCACCUAUCUGAUAUAAGAGAAUAGAAAGAGGUAAAGCAGGUUUACAACAUACUAUAUUACACUGUAGUUCCCAAGUAACUUAAUACCCUUGCAGAACAAAUCACAGGUCAGAACACUCCUUCCAGGCGGGUCAUUUGAACAGAAAGCAUUGAAAGAUAAUGUUUAUUAGUGCCUAACUGCUUAAAAGUUAUAACUUGAAAAAUUAUGUUUGAGCAUUGGAUAUUAGAUCAAAUGAGUUUAAACUGGACAAAUUUACAAAAGUUUUCUGGAAAUAUGAACUUUUAAACAUGUGUAUUUCAUGAUUCAGUUAAAAUGGAGGGAACUACAUGUAUAUCAUUGUAUAUAUAAACAUUUCUAACAGUUGCAAACUUUCAAGUCUUGGAGUCACAUGAGAUGUUUCCUCUCAAAGGAUGUCAGAUGAGGGAAAAGUGAUAAAUGUACUGGUGAAUACAGAAUGCUUACAGAACUAUCCUGUAUCCAUCAGAGAGGUCACACCACAAGUCAAGAAGAUGUUGCAUCAUGUGAAGUGAAGGAUAUAUACAUGUGUACUAGAUGGAUGUUAAAUUACAUUUGUUUGAAUAAAACACUCUGACUUAGAAAUAAUUGUGAAAUGUGCAAAUUACUAUAUGUGUUUGAAUUCUUGAUGACUAGAGUGCUUUUUUGGAUUUGCUAAUAAAAACAUAUUAAAUGCAAAUUAAAAGGUCAUUUGAUUUUAUUAUGCAACCAUCAUUUCAGUAAUCCCAAAAUGUUCCAGAGUGAAUUCCAUAGAAUUUCCAAAAUUAUUUCAAGGCUAAUGGCAUCUUACCCCAUAUCCUAUUUUUAACUGCGGAACUUUUUCCACAGCGGCUCCGGAACAUUUUCCAGAGUAAUUCCGGAACAUUUUCCAGAGUAACUCCGGAACAUUUUCCAGAGUAACUCCGGAACAUUUUCCAGAGUAACUCUGGAACAUUUUUCCGGAGUAGAAUGUCAUUUUAGCAGAACAAUUUCCAGAGUUGCUUUGAAACUCUGGAACAUUUUCAUGGAAAACUCUGGAAAAGUUUCAUGAAAAAAGCUCUGGAAAUUCGCGAUUUUUUUUUUCAGUUUUCUUUGAACAACUCCGGAAAAUUAGUCCAAAUUAUCCAGAGUUGGCAAUUUCCAUGAAAAUUGCGGAAGUUUUCAUGGAAAUUCAUGGAAAAUGUACGGACGGGAAAUUAACUUGUGUGCAGAAUCCUCUUUUUCUCCCUUUUUUUAAAACUGAAUCAGACCGAGAAUAGCACAAAAAUGAUUUUAAAUAUAAUAUCGAGGACAUAACUCAAAAAUGAAAAUAAGAUAUAAAGAGUUUAGCCACAUUACAGAUGUGAAAGUUCCACAGAAAAUGUUCCCAUGCUUCUAAAGAUUAAGCUAUCAAUAGAACUUAAAUAUGACCAGAUAGGCACAACAAUGAGAACUACCAUCAGUUUUUGCUAUCAUAAACAGCUGGUAAGAGGCAAUGACAGAUCAAUAAAAUUUGAAUUUGACAGCAUGUAGUAUCAGUCUGGGUUGACAUAAGUGUGAAUUUAAAGUAACAUUUAAGAUAAAUAUCAUAGCUAUUUCAUACCUCAUGUCUUUCUCCUG